AAAGCGCUGUAAAUGGCUUAAACAAAGCGCUGUAAAAUACCAUUUUUCGCGUAGUGUAUCUAUUAUACAAGAAAUAAUCCUAAACAAAAAUGCAGUUCUACAUUAUAUUGUUGUUGGCAUGUUGCAUGGCCAACAUGGUUGUACCAGUGGUGUGCAUCCGUUACCUCCCUCUAAAACGGGUAGUUCCACUUAACGAUCACAUUGAGAUGGACACGUUGACAGCUCGUGAUGGAGCUCGGCACUCAAGAAUCUUCGGAGGUGUUGGAGGCAUAGGCAAUUUCACGGUCCAAGGCAGUGCUGAUCCAAACUCCUUCGGGAAGUGAUCUUUUGUGGGUCAAUUGCAAAGCUUGUAGUAAUUGCCCUCAAUAUAGUGGGCUUGGGAUUAAGCUUAAUUUCUUUGAUACUGCUGGUUCAUCCACAAAUUCGUUGGUUAAAUGUUCGGACCCCAUAUGUCCUUUUGGAGUUCAAGGUGCGGAUGUUCGAUGUUCUCGUCGUGUUAACCAUAACCAGUGCAGUUACUCCUAUAAUUUUCAAGAUGGGAGUGGUACCUCAGGUGUUUAUGUCACCGAUAAAAGUUAUUUUGACUCAAUCAUUGGACAAUCUUCUCCUAGUAGUGGUAACACGUCGGCCAUCGUUUUUCUUGGGUGUAGCACCCAGCAAUUUGGACGAUUGACUACCCAGUGAGAGCGCUUGAUGGAAUCUUUGGGUUUGGGCUUGGCCCUCUAUCAAUUGUAUCACAAUUGUCACCACAAGGAAUAAUACCCAAAGUUUUCUCUCAUUGC